AUUCUUGGCACAAGGCACAGGAGUUGCAGAAGAAAUGAACGCAGCAAUCGUUGCAAGGUUUUUCCUCCAACAUGUACUGCCCCCUCAGUUGGGUUCGAUAGCCGCAAGUAAUGCAGCAUGCUAAGUUAGUAUAGUAAUUAAUUGCUGCAUAUAAACAUCCAUGCCAAAAACAACCUGCAUACGCAUGCACAUUUUGUUCACUUCCAAUUUCAACAUCAUCGUCAAAUUUUAAUCACUUAAUUUAACGCACGUCUUGGGCUGUUUCCGUAUGAAGCGCUCAUGUUAAGAGUUAUAAGUACGUGCUUCUAUUAUGAAAAUAUUGAAAAUUUUAUAAUUAUCCAAGUUUAGAUAUCGAGUUACUGGGUUCUUAAAAGAAACAUUACUGGUUUGUCCUUUGGAGACAAUCUCUGCAACACGCCCAGCAACAACGCAAGGACACCAAAAUCCCAAGCAGCCUGCAGUCCAAAUUACGUUAUAUAUAGGUUUAGGGUUUGUAUGAUCAAAUCAUCAAUCGAUAUAUAUUCAUAUACCAAAUAAGUAAACAUGGUAUAAUUGAUUUAGUUAGCUAGCCAGGAAGGGAAGAGAAUAGAAGCUGCGCUUACAGACACUGCAGUCACUGAAGCAGUCAAGCAGGCCAGUGGUCCAUCCACCCGACAUCUUUUUUUCCACACCGUUGGGGCAUAUACAUACACACACCAUGCAUAUAUAUAUGCGAUCGAUGUUAAUGGAAUCUGCACUAGACCGCACUAUGCAUGUUUUGCCUUGACGUGCAGAAUUGUCAUGAUCAUGGAUAGCAACGGCAGAUGAAGGAGCAUUUAUACGAUGAAGUACGAGUAAAUACAUGUUCACGACCGAAAAAAACCGAGACGAUGUUUUUUAUUUAUUUUUUGAAUGAAAAAAAGGUUUAUUAUAUUAAUAUCCCAUAAAUUGUUGAAUAAACUUCACAUACUUAAUACACCAUAUAUUUGCUUUUUCACUUAAAAAUUAUCUUAAUACACCUUACAUAAUUUCCCAUAAUAUCCUUACACCCCACAUUCUCAAUAUACACCUUAUAUUUUGUACAUACACCCCACAUCUGAUCUAGCAGGCCAUUCGACAACACUUUACUGACUGCACAGUCAUUACUAUUGCGCGUUGUGGAGCCAAAAAUAAUCAAGAAGAAUAUGGAGGUGACACGUGGAUUGUAGGGUAAAAAGGACAAAACCACCCUCGAGGAACACAAGAACUCCUACGCGCGAGCAGGGGACAACCAUCCCUCAAUCAAGUCAAAAGUGCCCAAAAUAGGUAUUUAUUUAAAACAUAUUUCAUCCAUCCUCAUCAAAUAUUCUCCACAAGGUAACCACCAAAUCUUUCAUUUCAAAUUAUAUUAAUUAGCUAAUUAAUUGAUUUAUUAUUCAAUUAAUUUAUUAAUUAGCUACAAAUCAUGGAUCUCACCCAAAAAAUCAUCCAAGCGGUCGGUCUAUCUCCUCCCAAAGGGACCGGCCACAUCCAUAUAUAAACACCCUCAUUUUCUCCAAAACCUAAGUUUUACACUCUUGCUAAAUUCUCCAAACAUUUUUCCCUCAAAAUUCUAACUUUGGCAUCGAAGGUUCUUCGGCCAAAGCCCUCUUCAUUCAUCGUGGGCGUGUGAGGCUCUUGGCCUUGACCGAAGGUGUUAUUUGUUUUGUAGGUACAAUUUUGUCCAAUAACAAGGAGGAAUAAAUUUGCAUCCACAAAUUUGUACUUUCAUUGAGAGUUGAGUCACACGCUUGUAAAAGACUCUCGCAUCUAAGGUUUUUUGUUUCUUUGCUUAUUUGUAGAUUUUUCAUACAUUCUUAUUCUUGGAAUUUUUAUUUCUAAAAAUUCUUUACUAAAACGUAAAACAAAAGUACAAUGGCAAGAGAUUCGGAAACCUCGACAAACGGAAAUUCCAACGUUCAAGGAUUAUGACCACGGCGAUCUACAAGGCAUAACAUAACGAUAAGCAGAACGGCACCCCCACGAGGCACCACCACGGCAGCCACCUUUGGCAAAACCCAAGGCUCUAAGGCCACGACCUAAGCCGUGCCAUUUCAACCUUCAAGGGCCCAAGCCUUAGCUGAGCCAGCCCGUGCCGUCUAAACCCAACGCAAGCCCAACACGUUGCCAAGCUGAGCCCAAGCUUCACACCCGCGUGCGCCACACGUCGAGCAACUCACUCCCGUGGCCCAGUCUGCUCCCCUCCCAUUACCCAGCCCACUCUCAUGGCCCAACCUGCUCCCGUAGCUCAACCUGCUCAUGUGGCCCAGCCUGCUCCCGUGGCCUUCCAAGUAGCCCAAAUCGGUCCAAGAUUAGUUCAACCGUCCUGGCUUCAAAUUUAUGGGCUUACAAUAAAAUUGGGGGCAUUUUUCACCACAUUUCUCCGCGGAUUUGCCAUUUCUCAACUUAAAUCUCGCACCCGGAGUCUACCACACUUCCACUGCUCAAGGAGACAUAUUCAUUCCAAGCUCUUCCAACCUAAAUAAGGAACAACACUUGUCUCGACAAGUCAUAUAAUUAACGAGCACCUUCGCACAUCAGAUGACCUUGGUGAAUCAACUAUUGCAGCGUACCGAGAUGCAACGUGCCCCAAAGGAGGUGUCCUGAAGUAAGACAAUGGUAGACAAAGAACUUCUCCAGUAGCGUCCCUGCAAGUAGCCACUCGACCAGCCACGAACUGAGCGUUCGAGCAAUGUACACUCCCGAUUGGGCCCCCAAGAUAGCGUAUACUCCCGUCUUAACACGCGGAGGAGCAUGCACUCUCGAAUAGGGCCACAAACGAGCAUAUAUUCACUGUUAAGGCCACACUUUGAUAGUCAACAUAAGCAACCUUCCAAGUGAAGUGUUCAUUCGAAGCUAGGCCCGCAAAGAGCAUCAUCCACCUCACAUCAGAGUAGGCAGCACGAAGGACAGAGAGAAUCAAUCACUCAGUCUGGCUUAAACUCAACUAAUAGCCUGCGAAGAAUUCCCUCGCCUGCUAGAAACGAACCACAUGCAUCGCAGCCGCGACAUAGACGAGUCAAGUACGUAGAAGAGCAUCCUAGACCAGUAGGUCACGACUGGGGCCAACCGAGAGCUCUGUUACCCCCAAUAAAAGAAAAUUUAGGAAGAAGUAGAAAUGCUCAUGACUGAGCGAUUGCGCGAUUUCCAAGGUAACAAGGUCAUUAAUGAGGCACCACGAUGAGACAUGACCAACAUAAGUAGGUCACCCUUCAUUGACGAGAUUGAGCAGGCAGAGCCUCUAUUCAAGUUCAACAUGCCACAUUUCACAUCCUUCAAAGAGGAUGGAGACCCGGAGAGACACCUAAAGCACUACCAAAAUGCAAUGAUCAUCUAUCGAAACAACAACGAUCUCAUAUGCAAGAUGUUCGCCAUCAUUCUACAAGGCAAGGUAAAAGAUUAGUUCUACACCCUGCCGCCACAAUCCAUAUGGAGUUUGGACGAAUUUUCUUUGGUUUUUACCAAAGAAUAUUCAUCAUAUCACUCGAUCAAGAAAAAGUCCGACCACUUGUUCAACGUCAAAAGAACCCAAAUGAGUCACUUCAUGACUAUGUGAAAAGGUUCAAAGCAGAGAAGGCAAAGAUAGUCGGAUGCAACGACUAGAUAACUAGAGCAACCUUCCAAAAAUGACUUUCAGCAGACCACCUGUUGUUUAGAAAAUUGAUGAUAAAAGAAGAUUUAACUCUGGCAAACUCUUUCUCUUUGACAAAGAACCAUGCAUUUGGGACGAGGCUCGCCGAUCCAGAUGCAAAGACUUGAAAUAGAACAUGACAUCACUUCUCUACUAUCCAAACCUGAAGCGACGAAUAAUCUAUUCGCAUGUUUGAUGGUAUCUGAAGCAGCAAUAAGCUCUACCAUCAUACGAGAAGAAUUGGGGGCCCGACUACCUAUAUUCCACAAUUCAAACACUCUUCUCAAUGCUACCAGAAAUUCAAAAGCUAACUUUGGCGAUAGUUGUUGCAACCUGGAAGCUUAAGUUUUACUUUCAGACACAUGCAGUCAUCUUCAUGAAGCACUAUUUCGCCCAAUCCAGACGCGUGUCGAUAAAGGCGUAGACAUUGGCGGAUGCAAAAUUUUCUGACGAACGUAACAACUCGACCCAAAAGACGCCCCAAUGGCAGACGAACACUAGAAUGACUCACUUGGAAUCAAGUUUUGCCCUCAUUACCCCAAAAGAUUCUACAUAGGAGAAACAUGUACCGGUAGUUAAACACCACCUUCUGCUACGUGUCACACAACCCUCGCUGACCCUUACUCCAUAAUUCAACUAUAGAGUGACUCAAUACUGGUAGUUGAGCAUCUCUUAUUACGUUUAACAUGGCCCCAGCUCCAAGGCUCCCUACCAUGCAUUCACAACGCAACAUGGUGACCCAACGACAGCUUCACGACUCCCUAUUGUUCCUUCACACCUAGUUUAGGAGACGCAAAAAAACGACUUAACAAUGCCCCGGAGGUAGCCGAGCACGCUCUAGCCGUGCCUGCUCCACUCGAUGGAGACCUCUAGCAUUUACAUGUCGACGGCGCAUCCAACUACAAAGGUUAAGGAGCAUGCAUGGUCCUUGUCACCCCAGACGGUUCGAUGCUUAAGCAUGCGAUCACUUUAGGCUUCAAAACAUCCAACAACGAAGCAAAGUGUGAGGCCCUACUAGCAGGCAUCUAAAUGGUAAAAGAUUUGGCGGUGAAAAAGCUCGCAAUUCAUUCUGAUUCCCAGCCAAUCACUAGCCAGACUACUUGAGGCGUUUCAAACUUACACCCUUACUCAAGUUCCACGGGUAGACAACAUUCACAUGGACGCACUAGUUGGCCUAGGCUCAUCCUUUAACCGCUAAAGGCAGCAAACUAGAGGUGGAAUAUCUAGACAAGCCAAGUAUAGAGGCGGAGCCAGCAGCCGAGGUGUCACAAGCUAAUACAAUUCCAAACUGGCAAGAUUCUAUUAUAGACUACCUGGUUAAUGACACACUCCCCAUGGAAAUAUUGGAGUCUAGAAAGCUCCAAACAAAGGCAGCGCGCUAUUACAUGUGGAACGACAUUCUCAUAUGAAGAUCCUACAUUGGACCACAUCUCCGCUGUUUAGCAUCUCCCGACGACUUAAAGGUUCUAAGCUCAAUCCAUGAAGGCAUUUUUGGAAAUCACUCCGGAAGCCAAUCCUUAACACAGAAGGCUUUAAACGUAGGCUACUACUGGCAUACCAUGCACCAAGACGCUAAAGAGUUAGUUCAAAAGUACGAUCGCUGCCAACACUAUAAGUCGAUAUCAGCACUGUCUGCCAGCAAAUUACACCCGCAGACAAGUCCUUGGUCGUUCACGCAAUGGGAAAUCGACCUGGUAUGACCAAUGUUGCCCGCUACUAGGGGCAAAGGCAUGACGAUUGUGAUAACCAAUUACUUCACCUAAUGGGUAAAAGCAGAGCCCAUGACUACCAUGACAUAAAAGGACAUAAAGCGUUUCAUAUGGAGGAACAUCAUUUGCCGAUUUGGCAUCCCUCAAUCCAUCGUCACAAAUAACGCCCCGUAAUUCGUAGGAAAAAAUUUGGCAAAGUUCUUCCAAAAGUAUGGCAUCAAGCAGCACAUGUCCACGCCAAGAUAUCCUCAAGGCAAUGGGCAGGCCAAAACAUCCCAUUAGACGAUCCUUAACUGCUUCAAGAAGUCCAUCUCCGACAAAAAGGGAAAAUAGCCAAAUGAACUUCCCGGAUGUCUAUAGGUGUAUCACAUCACCAAAUGAUGAGCCACCAGUGAAACUCAUUUCUUUUUGGCAUUUGGUUCAAAAGUGAUCAGUUAUCCCAAUGUCAUUGUGCUAGGUAUCAACACUCAACUGCCAAGCAUCGAGUAGAACAGUAAGGCGAUGGCCACAACCUUAAAUCUGGCAGAAGAGAAACGAGAGCAGACUAUCACCCUCAUCGUAGCCUACUAGUAGCUCAUCCUCUCCAGCUACAAUAAAAGGGCCAAGAUCCAGUAGUUUCAGCACGGAGAUCUAAACCUAAGGAAAACCUUCAUCACUGCUCGCAGAGAAGACUCCAAAAGAUUAAUUGCAUCUGGGAAGGUCCGUACAAGAUCAGUAGAGUAGGCAGCAAAGGAAAUUACACCCUCGCCACCAUGAAUGACAAAGAGAUCGAAAAGUAGUGGAACACCUACAAUAUGAAGAAGUACCAUGUGUGACUUCCCACUACAUCAAAGCCCGAAGACUCAAGCAACUCGACGGGCACCACCUCACAUGCUGAAGAUUAUCCAAUUGUUAUGCAGUUCUUACAUUACAGCUAAAUUCUCAUUCGUUUCACUUGUUUUUCAAUGAGGAAUUCAAAAGUAAUCUACAACUUAGCUUGGCUACAUGCUUACAACAACUAAUCAUUCAUGCACUUCAAAAGAAGAUCGCGUCAUUCUUAGAGACUCAUCGCAGGAAUUACACCCCCCGAGGGACUAACCAUGUUAUCCAGUGCAAGAAAGUAAACUAAUUCCCCGACACCCAACUGGGUCUGCUCUCCAGUGCAAGAGCGUAAACCAAUUCCCCAACACCCACAUGAGUUUGCUCUUUAAGGUGACAGGAUAAACUUUACACUCCGAAUAUCCAAACGUGGAUGAGCCAAGCUACCCUAGUAUAACUAGGUGCACGAUGGCUUGCGCCGGGAUUCCUAGACGUGGAUGGCCAAUAGAACCAAAGUUCUACACCAACAACUACGGAUGCAUCGGCUACGCGAGCCUGUUUGCUUAUAGAAAAGUAUCACGCAUACCACUUGUCUAUAAAGUCUAAAGGUUAGGGCAUGAACAAAAGAAGCGAAGAUGGAGAAAAACGAAGGAAUCAAGUUUAUUAAAUUUUCUAGCAAAAUUGAUAAACAACUUGCAAAGACCGAAGAAGUUCAAGGAAAGCAAAAGGCAACGAGGGAAACAAAGAAAAUCCUAAAGACUACCUAGACUACUACUUUUCAGCAGCUUAAACACUCCACGAUUACUCGGUCGCCACACCUUCAGCAAUCGCGACAUUCUCAGCAGCGGCACCAUCCGGUGUUUCACCCCCGGCUGCUCCAGCCUAGGCACCAACAUCUCCAACUACUUCACCAAUGGAGGUCUCAAAAGUAUAAGUCAGUUUUCUAGAGAAAUAUAGAAGGUUUCGAAGUCUCUCCCAGCAAACUUGAAGUCAGAUGGCUUACCAAAUAGAUGAUCUACAUAACCCAGCUUGUAGAAAUCAGCCUGACUUUGAAUAAGCGGAGCCUCGAGCCCAGCUUUCUCACAUUUCAGCUGCCUGAUCUCCUCGAACAGACCAACACGGACACGCUACAACUCAUCCACUUAUUUCUUCAAACAUUCGUUAUCUUAUGUGCAUCUUAAAGUUCCAACACUUGGGGUUCAAGCCUAUCAACAACCUUCUUGAAGUGGAUCACUUGGUUAUAAGCAGCAAUCAACUCUUCAUCCUUUAUAUAAGUAGUGGAACGAAGCUCAGAAAUGGCACGCUCAAGAUCUUGAAUCUAAGGUCAAGCCUAGUCUUCAAGUUAAUGAUCUCUUGGCGAACGGUCUUACGCUACAAAGAAGUGGGGGCAGAGAUAUUAUACCCCUUCAAAGUGACGAGCUCAGAUUCUAACCUUUUGAUAUUCUCGGCAAAAGAAUAAGCUUCGCUGCCUUUGCCACCUCAUCGGCAUCCUUGGUAUCCUCUUGGUCAAUGAGCAUAGACUCGGCUGCCAGAAUAGCCAUCUUCUGCAUCAUUGCAAGUAGAAAAGUUUUCUUAUACUCGACCAUAUGUUUCGCAAAGGGACAUGGGCAAACAACCAUUCUAACGCCUUCGACAAACUUGGCACAAAUGUCCAUGUUUUCAAGCAUAUCUGGUUUCAAAAGUGCACAGAUCUCAACAGCCUCCACAAAAGCAGGUUUAGUGGAUUCUUCAUAGUUGCCCACACGUGUAGUCUCAUUCUUCCCAGCAGACGAAUCAAUCUCAACAGCAGAGAAGUAGGCAUUAGCGCCACUUUAGUAGCAGAGUCCACCUUAUCGCUCUUCAUAUUAGCGAGCCUCUUUAAAGGUGAACCAGACUUAGCUCCUAACAGACGCCUUGCAUUGGUUUUGGCACUAGGGGAACAAUGGAGCCUUUUCGGUGAGCAAUCCUAUCGGCAAUCGAACUAGCCAUCUUUGGCAUAGCAGGCGUCACUGGCUCAAAUCUAGUAGCCUCAUUUUUCGUCCCCUUGGAAUAUCUCAGCCGGCACCUCUUGAGCAGGCAAGGAAUAUCUCUUUUUCCCAUCUUCAUCCGUAACAGGCUCCACUACAGCGAUCAGACGAGCCAACGCAUCCACCUUGAUUUGCUUUAUCUCAUCUCUCAAGGGUAGCCCACAUUUCUCCCGACAAAGAGGACUAAGCAGCCAACGCCGUUCACGGUACUCAGCAGGGAAGCUCAACCCAUGAUGGUUUUUCCCUCAGUUUUUCUCUCGAACUAGUAGGCAAGAGGUUUGCAUGCCCAUCAUUCUAAUAGCCCAAGAGGCCCACGACCUUAUCAUUACUCUCAAUCACCGACCUAGCCCGCGUUAGGUCUAAGAGCCGAAAAGGACAUGAGUCAUGUGACUCGCCUAGCAUUGCGCCCCAGCGCCAUAAUCUGCGACCCCAAUGCCAUAAUUCGUGGGCCCAAUCACACAGCUGCCUUUGGCUUUAGCCAAACUAAGCAGCCCAAGUAGUGGUCCAUGCCACAACACCUCAUCGGCCGAUUCCGAGCCAACUCCUGGCCCCUGCCAGCCGAAGUGCCACACCACCCUGAUGGUUGCCUCACGGUAGCACAAUCCAAGAAGAAGACAAGGAAAAUUAAUUUUUUCUUACCUUGGUGUGGUACGGAGAAGACGAAGAAAACGAUGAAAGACGGUCCUUUGCACAGGCAAGUGUAAAAGAUUGCUAGGGGAGGGGGAACAAAUAUCAUCUAACUUUCUCUCUCUUGUAGUGUAUAAUAGAUUGCUCUCUAAAGUUGAUUUAAUCAUCUACUUAAGGUAGACUUAAAUAAGUGAUUUAUUUCCAUUUCCUAGAAAGAUCUAAUUUCCAAUUAAAGAGAUAGAAAACAAUGUUAUGUUUCCUAAAGCAAGAAGAUCUCUUCACCUGCUGCCUUUUCCUGCAAACAGCCUAACAGGUGUGAAGGCAUUUGUAGAGCAAAAAAUAAUCAAGAAGAAUAUGGAGGUGACACGUGGAUUCUAAGGUAAAAAGGACAAAACUACCAUCGAGGAACACCAGAACUCUUACGCGCAAGCAGUGGACAACCAUCAUUCAAUCAAGUCAAAAGUGCCCAAAAUAGGUAUUUAUUUAAAACCUAUUUCAUCUAUCCUCAUCAAAUAUUCUCCACAAGGUAACCCCUAAAUAUUUCCUUUCAAAUUAUAUUAAUUAGCUAAUUAAUUGAUUUAUUAUUCAAUUAAUUUAUUAAUUAGCUACAAAUCAUGAAUCUCACCCAAAAAACCAUCCAAGUGGCCGGUCCAUCUCCUCCCAAAAGGGCCGGCCACACCCCUAUAUAAACACCCUCAUUUUCUCCAAAUUAAACCUAAGUUUUACACUCUUGCUAAAUUCUCUAAAUUCUCCAAACAUUUUUCUCUCUAAAUUCUAAUUUUGGCAUCGAAGGUUCUUUAGCCAAAACCCCCCUCCAAAAAAAAAAUCAUCGUGGGCGUGUUAGGCUCUUGGCAUUGACCAAAGGUGUUAUUUAUUUAGAAAAACUAAUGAAAAUGACUUGAAAACUUUGAGUUUUAAUGACAAAAUAAAGAGUAAAGUGAAUAGUAUCAUGAUUGACUUUUUAGUGUAAAAAUGUGGCUUUUCGUUAAAAUGAAUAGUACCUGGAGCUUUUCGUUAAAGUUCCCUAUUUAUUUUGUAUGUGCAAUUUUGUCCAAAAAUAAGAAGGAAGAAAUUUGCAUCCACACGCAUUGUAUAACAUCUAUUCUUGACAGUGACAUGGUUCUACUUCUAAGUCACAGUUAGUAUUGCCAUAUGAAUCCAUUCAACUUUCCUAAUGAUCCUCAUAGUUAUUUACUGUAAUGUGUUUUUGAUCGGGUUGCAGGGAUCCAAAAGAAGAAAAGGGCAAACAAAAGAACUCCUAACACAACACCUCCAACAAAUGCCAGAGAUAAAGCUUUUAAUUUGGACCAAAAAUGCCGACUAGAAUUUGACAAAAAUGUUACCUGGGAUUUAAAUCAUAUAUGAGUUUGUUUUCAAUUCUACCAUUAAAACACAUCUCGUCUGUUUUUAAUAUUUGGUGGUAAUUUAGGUGUUUAAUUCUUCAUGUAAUCAUUGUGAUCCCUAAAAGAUGAAUAUGAAUAUAGAAGUUUAAAUAACGCAGCAAAUGCAAGAUUAAAUAAUUAUCGAUGUCGUCAAAAUCACUAAAACAAUGAAAAAUAUGAAGUCUUACCUCAUGUGAAGCUUCCGAAACAUCGAUUUCGUGUUCCAUUCGUCAAAAACAAUUUUUCUCAAUCAACAUGUUUGUAGUUUCAUUGGUUAGGGUUUUGUUCAGCAAUGGAAGGUAGGAGGGUUUUGAUAAUUGAGAAGAUAAAUAAUACGCUAAAUAUGAUUUGGGGUGUAUUUAGAAUUUAAAAAAAAACAAAAAACAUAAUAAGGUCAAAAUUAUCAUUACCUAGAAAUGUUCAUUUUCUAAGUUACUCUUUGAACUUAAUCACGCACAAAACCAACUAAAUAAAGACAUUUAAUUGUUCAAUUAAAAUUGUCAUAAUUUGAAUUAUUAACUGAAAAAUGUGGUUUGCCUCUUGAUUAAAGAAUAAUCAGAUGAGCAAAAUAUCUUCAUUUUAACUUUUUUUUUUUGUAAAAAAUAAAUUUUAAUGGGCCUAUUUACUCCAUAAUUUACACAAAAAUAGAAUUAUGAGAUUGAGAUCUUGAGUAAAGAUGGAUAAUUAAUAUUUUAGUAAGCAAAUUAACAUCUCAGAUGACGAAAGAAUGCUCUAUAAGAUAGAUUAUUACAUACAAACAAAGCAAGAGGUUCUCAUGAGUGGGAGAGAUUUUUCAGUGUUCCCGUCAUACGAAAUGGUACAUCACGUGUGUUUAUAUAAAUGAUGGGUUAUAUGUGUUAAAAAGUUAAUAACUUAAAAAUUAAAAUUUUUCACUACUUGUAUAAAAACACGUGAUGUACUAUCUGUAUUCUCGUCACAACUAAAUUUUUUUUCAUGAGUGGGCCGGUUUGCAUCAUUCAACCUUGUAUUAUUACUCUGGUUCAUGGUCGUCACUUUAGACCCACAACGUGGGAAACGAGGAGGGGUUACGUGGUUCUUAUACACCUUUCACUACCUACUUUUUCGUCAAGUUUUAUAAGGAACUGUCAAUAAUUUUCUCAUCACAAACAAAAAAAACAUUGUAUGGCUUGAAUGCUAUGUAUUAUUUAGUGUUACAAGUAUUUUAACUGUUAAAAUUGAUUUUUAUAAUUAUUUAGAUCUUUUAUUUUCAAUCUUAAUAUUUUCUUCAUAAUAUGUAGUAUGAAAAAAAAAAUUGCAAGUCCCUUUAAACUAAUAAGAUGCGUCAUUGCUUGCAUCACUCAUGACCUUAUUGAUGGGAACUUCUCUAGGGGAAUGAGAGUCACACAAUGGGUCAUAUAUAAAUAAGUAUAGUUUAAAUGUCUCAAUAGUCUUUGGGUUCUAGUUAUUAGGUCAAUUUAGUCUCCGUGAUUUUAAUUUGACCAAUUUGGUCCUUAUAUUUAUCUUUGUUAACCAAUUAAGGAUAUUUCAUCCAAUCUCUAUUAAAAAAGUAAUAAAUAAUUAAAAACUUAUUUAUAAGAAUAUCUAUUUGAUCUUAAAAUGAAAUAAAAUUAAAAAUUAAAAGAAAAAUUACUCUUCUCCCUAACGUUCUAUCAUCUCCUAAUUUUCUUGCACACCCACUCGCUCCCCUCCCCUCCUCCACCCUCUUUUCUAGAUCACGAGAAUUAAAUUGGCCAAAUUUAAAAUAUGGGGACUAAAUUGACCAAAUGGCUAUAACACACGAACCAUUUUUUAACAUUUAAGGCAAUAAGUAAUGAACUCAAUCCAAAAAAUAUUAUAUGUUCUCAUCAUGAAUUAUAAUAUAAUAGUUUUAAACCCUCCCCUCUCCUUAAUAAUAGUAGUUUUUUUUUUAUUCCACAAUGACCUUAGUUCAAAUCCAAAAGACAUUAAACAAACCAAACUCAAGUGACUCAAACUCAAUAAUUAGGGAUAAAAGCAAUGUCUCCUGACCAAUUACCCUAAUUUACAUCGCCAUCACAUGUACAAACUUUACAUCGACUUGUUUAUGGUUGUAGAUUAGCAUUUUCUCCAUAUCACAUUUCAAAGUAAUAAAAAGCCGUUUAGUACUACGGUUUAGUGGUAUUACUCUCCACACUAUUACUAGCUCAUUGUGAGGCUAAGAUCACCCUCUCCCCUAAUAUCGUUUAUUUAAAAAAAAAAAACAAACCGUUUGUUUGCAUAACUAGUGGUUUCUUCAUCAAUUUGGGAUUUGGAUACAAUUAUAAUUAUUUCAGAAUAAUUGGGGCAGGGUACAUGGGUGACCUAGAUUAGAGCACCACUACACUCCUCACAAUUGACAUUUGGGUGUUGAAAUCAAUAGUGGGCUGAAAAAUAUGAAAGUAGGCCCACCAACGGCCAAUUGAUGUAAGUGGUGGGCUUGGAUUCUUGGAGGAAGAAAGGCCUCGAGUCUGGGAACGAGGCUGAGCUGUUGGGCUCACCAACGAUGGCUCCCACCAGCAAAUUGGGGUUGGGCUUUGGACUUAAGAAGUAUCAUCUAGACCCGGCUUUGCACCCGAUGCGGGCCGGGUGGGCAUGCACCGACGGUGAUGAGCUGCUCCGGUGGUGUAUCAUCUGUGGGUAGCGUGCACCGUAUCCAACCAUGAACGACAUCCUCAGUGAAACCUAGAAUAAUUGAAUCAUUAAUUCACAAGUACAGUAAAUGAUCCAAUAUUUCAUCCAAAUUAAACCCCAAUAUAAAUCACGUUAACAGAUUAAUCACAUAUGUACUUAUAUAUUUAGUAGUAGGACACACACACACACAUAUAUAUAUAUAUACACAUACAGUUUUUGAGAUCGGAGAAGCAGUUGCAGAGGCCGGUGGAUCAAGGGACGAGAGCACGAGGGCGGGGAUAGGGAGGGGGGUGGGUCAUGUGGGAGUGGCCACUGUGUGGGAGCUCAUGUCUUCGUUAGAAGUAGUAAAAUAUGGUUCAGUGCUGGAGCGGACAGGGAUACCUGUCGGCGGAGCAUCUUGGUGGUGAUGGUGCUGGUGCUGGUGGUCGGACGAGGAGUACUUCUCGUAUCCCUUUGGGUGUGACGAGUACGUGAUGGUCGAGUUAGGUGGGGAACGAUGAGGAGGUUGAGCGAAUAUGAUCUCAGACAGACUGAGAGAGAGGACUUGAAAUGUUUUGGUUUAUUCUACAACCAUAGAACGGAUGAAUGCGCUGACUUAGAGAAAUUUUUAGUUGUGAUCGGAAUACAGGUGGUAUACCACUUGUUUUUAUAUAAGUGGUGAAAAAUUAUAUUUUUAAGUUAUUAAUUUUUUAACACACAUAUCACACAAUUUUUGUAAUGACAGAUAAUAUACUACCGCAUGUUCCGGAGACAUUAAAAAAUUUCUCGUUGGCGUACGUCAAGUCUCCUCCGUCUACGAGUCUUCCUGUAUGCUUUCUUCCUUACAGCGCUGCGCUAAAGUUUUUGAAGGCCCAUGGAAAAGCCUGUGAAAAAGGCCCUUUUAUUACGAUCAACUUUUUUCAUGGGACUGAGAUCACCUCCGAAUCCCAGCCUCUGGAGCAAACCGGGCAAAACAUCUUAUUCUUCCAUUUUCAUCUUGCCUUGUUUUGCGUGAGAAUUGUUCAAUAUUUAAAUUUAUUUCUCGUCACAGGAUCAAAAAUGGAAGGAUGGGAUGUCUUGCUCAGUUUGCUUUGGAGGUUGGGAUCCGGAGGUGAUCCCAGUCCUUUUUUGUGGAGUGAUUUUUGAAUAUCUAUUUUCACGUUUUGCACAGUUUUUUUUUUAAUUUUUUUUUAUUCAAUCUAUAAUGACCAAAAAAUAUGGGUGUACAGGAGGCGGAAAAGAUCUUUGGAAAUCACUAGCAGGUGUACUCGAGCGUUGUCAUGGGAUUUUAAACUUUGUUCAAGAAGUGGACAGUCUUGAAAAUAUGUGGCAAAGAGCAUUGCUUACUAUUUACAUUACAUGUAACAUAAAGUCUUGAAACUUUGUUCAAGUUAACAAAAUUGAGGACAUUGGAAUGCCAUACUUAAGGAGUGUUAUUUACAUCUAUAUAUUACAUAAGAAAAAUUGGUAACUCCGAUAAUUAUUUGAUCCUUUUAUGUCCAAAUUGUAUAAAUAAAAAAAACUAAAAUUUGUUCCUUUACAGACACCCAAAUCAGUAACUCCGAUAAUGACUUCUCCUUGGUUUUCCACAAAGCCAUUGAACAUGAAUAUAAUAACCGAUUAGAAACAAUAGAGUCCACACCACUUUAAGAUACACGCAAAUAGUUCCAAAAAAAAAACCGAAAUAAUAGUGAUUUUAUUAUAAUAUUAAGAACUGAUACAAACAUUAAAAAUAAUAUUUGAUAAAAGAGAAUCCACAAUCUACAGAGACUUCAACAAAACAUAAAAGGUCAACUCGAUUGAAUACCAUGGCAAGACAAGCCCACAAACUAGCAAAUGAACACAGUCUUUAAAUUAUUCACACCCAAACUCAACAGACUAAGACGACUCUCCAAAGCCAAAAGAAGUUUAUUCAAGAGACGGCAAACAAAAAUCGAAAGCGAAUUCUUUUAUUCCAUAUGGUAUGAAGCAUCAAGCCAACACCAUUACUAUUUGUAAUCAGUCUGACGAUUCAUGCCACCCUGCACAGCUGGUGCUGUCACCACUCCAGGAUUCUUUGACGCAUUUUGUUCCCAGCCUAACAUUCAUUGAAAUUAACUAGUUAAUUAGGAAUCAUUUUGAAUUAAUACUUUUUAAAGAUAAUUACACGUGUAUAACGCGUAUCGGUUGAUUUAACUAGGAUGGAUAAGGAGGUGCACCGAGACGGUGAAUCUAAGUGAUUGUAUUGGAGGGAGGAAACAACGAAUGUACGUACCAAUGGUAACAUUGAAACCACGGUUCUCGAGCUCACGGUAUUCUUGGCACAAGGCACAGGAGUGGCAGAAGAAAUGAACGCAGCAAUCGUUGCAAGGUUUUUUCUCCAACAUGUACUGCUCCCUCAGUUUGGUUCGAAAGCCGCAAGUUAUGCAGAAACCGCAAGGAAUGCCGAAUGCUAAGUGAGUAUAGGAAUUGAUUAGUGCAUACAAACAUCCCUGCUGAAAACAACCUGCAUACGCAUGCACACUUUUGGAGUUCACUUCCAAUUUCAACAUCAUCCUCAAAUUUUAAUCACUUAAUUUAGGGCGUGUUUUGGGCUGUUUACGUAUGAAGCGCUCAUGUUCGAGUUAAGUACGUGCUUUUAUUACAAAAAUACUGAAAAUUUUAUUAUAUCCAAGUGUUUCUUAUAAAAUCCAAGUGCUUCAUGGAAAGGAAUUUGAAUUUGCUCAUCGAGAAAGUGACUAGUUAACAAGUGCUUCUCGAGAAAGUCUAUUUAAAUUUUUAUGUUAAAGUUAUUCAAAACAACUUUACUAAGGCAGAAAGCAAAGAAGCAAUUCAAAACCGGCCCUCAAUCAAGUUUACAUAUCGAGUUACUGGGUUCUUAAAAGAAACGUUACUGGU
rnacentral:lncRNA from 1 species